CUACGUGCCAGCAGCCGCGGUAAUACGGAGGGUGCGAGCGUUAAUCGGAAUAACUGGGCGUAAAGGGCACGCAGGCGGCUAUUUAAGUGAGGUGUGAAAUCCCCGGGCUUAACCUGGGAAUUGCAUUUCAGACUGGGUAGCUAGAGUACUUUAGGGAGGGGUAGAAUUCCACGUGUAGCGGUGAAAUGCGUAGAGAUGUGGAGGAAUACCGAAGGCGAAGGCAGCCCCUUGGGAAUGUACUGACGCUCAUGUGCGAAAGCGUGGGGAGCAAACAGGAUUAGAUACCCUGGUAGUCCACGCUGUAAACGCUGUCGAUUUGGGGAUUGGGCUUUAAGCUUGGUGCCCGUAGCUAACGUGAUAAAUCGACCGCCUGGGGAGUACGGCCGCAAGGUUAAAACUCAAAUGAAUUGACGGGGGCCCGCACAAGCGGUGGAGCAUGUGGUUUAAUUCGAUGCAACGCGAAGAACCUUACCUACUCUUGACAUCCACGGAAUCCUGUAGAGAUACGGGAGUGC
rnacentral:rRNA from 1 species